rnacentral:lncRNA from 1 species
CUCUAGUAUGUUACGUCUAGUCUAUGAGACCAGGAUGGAUGGAGGUGCUGAGCUGACAGGCCAUUGGAUGGAUGGAGGUGCUGAGCUGACAGGCCAUUGGAUGGAUGAGGGUGCUGAGCUGACAGGCCAUUGGAUGGAUGGAGGGUGCUGAGCUGACAGGCCAUUGGAUGGAUGGAGGGUGCUGAGCUGACAGGCUAUUGGAUGGAUGGAGGGCGCUGAGCUGACAGGCCAUUGGAUGGAUGAGGUUGCUGAGCUGACAAGCCAUUGGAUGGAUAAGGGUGCUGAGGUGACAGGCCAUUGGAUGGAUGGAGGCGCUGAGCUGACAGGCCAUUGGAUGGAUGGAGGGUGCUGAGCUGACAGGCUAUUGGAUGGAUGGAGGUGCUGAGCUGACAGGCCAUUGGAUGGAUGGAGGGUGCUGAGCUGACAGGCCAUUGGAUGGAUGGAGGCGCUGAGCUGACAGGCCAUUGGAUGGAUGAGGGUGCUGAGCUGACAGGCCAUUGGAUGGAUGGAGGUGCUGAGCUGACUAGCCAUUGGAUGGAUGAGGGUGCUGAGCUGACUAGCCAUUGGAUGGAUGGAGGUGCUGAGCUGACAGGCCAUUGGAUGGAUGAGGGUGCUGAGCUGACAGGCCAUUGGAUGGAUGAAGGCGCUGAGCUGACAGGCCAUUGGAUGGAUGGAGGGUGCUGAGCUGACAGGCCAUUGGAUGGAUGAGGGUGCUGAGCUGACAGGCCAUUGGAUGGAUUGAGGGUGCUGAGCUGACUAGCAAUUGGAUGGAUGGAGGUGCUGAGCUGACAGGCCAUUGGAUGGAUAAGGGUGCUGAACUGACAGGCCAUUGGAUGGAUGGAGGGUGCUGAGCUGACAGGCCAUUGGAUGGAUAAGGGUGCUGAACUGACAGGCCAUUGGAUGGAUGGGUUAGUAGAGUAGCCUGCUACAAUACAGUAGUCUUUAUAUAGAACUUCAAAGGGACAGCUAGUUUAAUACAGUUCAAAAGAGUCUCCUAAUAAACUACAUACUAACCAAGGAGGAACACUGGCUGUUCAUAAGAGCGUUUUUUACAGUCA